UACGGGGGGGGCAAGCGUUGCUCGGAAUUACUGGGCGUAAAGGGCGCGUAGGCGGCCUACUAAGUCGGACGUGAAAUCCCUCGGCUCAACCGAGGAACUGCGUCCGAUACUGGUGGGCUUGAAUCCGGGAGAGGGAUGUGGAAUUCCAGGUGUAGCGGUGAAAUGCGUAGAUAUCUGGAGGAACACCGGUGGCGAAGGCGGCAUCCUGGACCGGUAUUGACGCUGAUGCGCGAAAGCCAGGGGAGCAAACGGG
rnacentral:rRNA from 1 species